rnacentral:rRNA from 1 species
GUGAGGAAUAUUGCGCAAUGGAGGCAACUCUGACGCAGCCAUGCCGCGUGCAGGAAGAAGGCGCUACGCGUUGUAAACUGCUUUUAACCGGGAAGAAACCCCAGGACGUGUCCUGGGUUGACGGUACCGGAGGAAUAAGCACCUGCUAACUUCGUGCCAGCAGCCGCGGUAAUACGAAGGGUGCAAGCGUUAUCCGGAUUCAUUGGGUUUAAAGGGUGCGUAGGCGGAGCGUUAAGUCAGUGGUGAAAUCCUGCAGCUUAACUGUAGACUUGCCAUUGAUACUGGCGCUCUUGAGUGCGCUUGAAGUGGGCGGAAUGUGCCGUGUAGCGGUGAAAUGCUUAGAUAUGGCACAGAACACCAAUUGCGAAGGCAGCUCACUAAGGCGAUACUGACGCUGAGGCACGAAAGCGUGGGGAUCGAACAGGAUUAGAAACCCCAGUAGUCC